AGGAUAAACGCUGGCGGCGUGCCUAACACAUGCAAGUCGAACGAAGGCUUCGGCCUUAGUGGCGCACGGGUGCGUAACGCGUGGGAAUCUACCCUUAGGUUCGGAAUAACAGUUGGAAACGACUGCUAAUACCGGAUGAUGACGUAAGUCCAAAGAUUUAUCGCCUAGGGAUGAGCCCGCGUAGGAUUAGCUAGUUGGUGUGGUAAAGGCGCACCAAGGCGACGAUCCUUAGCUGGUCUGAGAGGAUGAUCAGCCACACUGGGACUGAGACACGGCCCAGACUCCUACGGGAGGCAGCAGUGGGGAAUAUUGGACAAUGGGCGAAAGCCUGAUCCAGCAAUGCCGCGUGAGUGAUGAAGGCCUUAGGGUUGUAAAGCUCUUUUACCCGGGAUGAUAAUGACAGUACCGGGAGAAUAAGCUCCGGCUAACUCCGUGCCAGCAGCCGC
rnacentral:rRNA from 1 species